rnacentral:rRNA from 1 species
CCGUAGCGAACAGCUCAGUAACACGUGGCCAAGCUACCCUAUGGACGUGGACACCCUCGGGAAACUGAGGCUAAUCCGCGAUACGGCUCCCACGCUUGAAUGCGGGGAGCCGGAAACGCUCCGGCGCCAUAGGAUGCGGCUGCGGCCGAUUAGGUAGACGGUGGGGUAACGGCCCACCGUGCCGAUAAUCGGUACGGGAUGUGAGAGCAAAUAGCCCGGAGAUGGAAUCUGAGACAAGAUUCCAGGCCCUACGGGGCGCAGCAGGCGCGAAACCUUUACACUGCACGCCAGUGCGAUAAGGGGACCCCGAGUGCGAGGGCAUACAGUCCUCGCUUUUGUACACCGUAAGGAGGUGUACGAAUAAGGGCUGGGCAAGGCCGGUGCCAGCCGCCGCGGUAAUACCGGCAGCCCGAGUGAUGGCCGCUGUUAUUGGGCCUAAAGCGUCCGUAGCCGGCCGAACAAGUCUGUCGGGAAAUCCAUCCGCUCAACGGAUGGGCGUCCGGCAGAAACUGUUCGGCUUGGGGCCGGAAGAUCCGAGGGGUACGUCCGGGGUAGGAGUGAAAUCCUGUAAUCCUGGACGGACCGCCGGUGGCGAAAGCGCCUCGGAAGGACGGACCCGACGGUGAGGGACGAAAGCUGGGGUCUCGAACCGGAUUAGAUACCCGGGUAGUCCCAGCCGUAAAC